rnacentral:lncRNA from 1 species
AAAUGAAGUCUACUCAAGAUAUGACACAUACGCCCUGGGGUACCCAUUGUGGCUCACAUGGUUCCAGGGCUCUCAGUGGGCCUGGCCGUGUGCAAAGGGAUCUUUAGGUCUCUCUGGCACUCGAACCUCAUGUCAGCUCCAUAGCAAUGGCAGCUCCACAGUCUGCCCAUACAGGUGAGGAAGUGGCUGUUCAGGGCAGACGUCUGAUGUGCAGGUCACUAAGCAGGACACUGUGGGAGCAGGGGUCACGGCACUUCUUGCCCUGCAAGGGUUGGCUGGUGGCUCAGCUGGAGGAAGUGGAAGAGCAGGAAAGGGGGAGAUGCAGCCAUCUCUCCCAAAGAGAGAGGAAUAAUACACCCUGAUUCCAGGGCACCUUGGAAGAACUGGGGUUGGAGACACUGGCUAAAUUAAUCCUGGUGAGAAGAUGCUAGUCCUCGGCCCUUCAUGAACCAGACGCUCCUGCACCAGGACCGUGAGAAAGAGGGCUUGCCCUACUCAGCCCUCCCCCUGAGCACUCACCAGGUUCCCUGAAGGAGUCCAGAGCUCAAGAACAGCCUUCCCCUCCAUUUCUGCUCCCCACCCAGGGAUAAGGUGCAUCAUUGCCUGCAGACCUGGGUUGCCCACAGGAGAUGUAGAAGGUAGCUGCUGUCUCUCCUGAGCCCUGUGGCACUGCCUGCCAUUUGCAUCUUCUCCUCCCCCCUCACCUUCCAGCUCCCACUCAUUGGUCCUCUGUGAUGGAGAGUCCCCUCCUUCCUGAGCCCAUAAGUGGAUGCCUGGAGCUCAGGAAGAUGGAUUUUAUGAUUUGGAUAUAAGGUGUUCUCCAAAAGCUCCUGCAUUAAUGCAGGAAUGUGAAAUGAUUGGAGUGUGAGAGCUAUAAGCUAAUCAGUGCAUAGUUUGAAUGGGACUGACUUGGAGGUAUGUGGGGAGCCACUCUGAUUGACCCAUGCCUGAGGCCCUGACCGAUCACUACAUUUCGUAGUGACUUGAGCGUUGUCCCAGAUCAGGAAGUUGAGGGCAUGUCUUCAGAUGUAGGUGUGUCACUCAUGGGCUUGAGCUACACUCACCUGUUAUUUUGUAAUCCUACCCCUUUGCCCUGUUUGGGAUAGAAUGUUCCAUGGAAACUCCCUUUGUGUGUCCCCUUCUCUUGCUCUGCCUUUGGGUGUGGCCUUCCUAGAUGUCAGUCAACCUGCUGACAGCAGACAUCACAAGGCUAGACUCAACCCCCUGAAACCUGGCCCCUUGCCUCAUUUGAAUGGCUUCUCCUCAAUAAAAGGGCUCAGCUCGCACGCUCUCUCCCUCUCUCUCUCUCUCUCUCUCUCUCUGCAGACCCCUAAGGUCAGAGGAGCCGUCACAGGACCCAAAGGAAAAGGAAUCUCUGUCUCUUGUGUGAUUAUUUCGUGCAGCCCAGUUCCUCUGGAGUGACCCUGGGUGUUAGUCUCGAGGAAUGUGACGGAGGUGACUGUCGGCAGAUGGGGUGUGGCUGGAGGAGUCAAAAACUGAGAUGUGCCCUAGAAGAGGGCGUCUUCCUUGCAGCUCCUUACCUCUCCCCAUCUCUCCUCCUGACCCUGACAGGAG